rnacentral:rRNA from 1 species
AAGCAUAUCAAUAAGCGGAGGAAAAGAAACCAACAGGGAUUCCCCUAGUAACGGCGAGUGAAGCGGGAACAGCUCAAAUUUGAAAUCUGGCCUUCGGGUCCGAAUUGUAAUUUGCAGAGGAUGCUUUUGGUUAGGUACUUUCCGAGUUCCCUGGAACGGGACGCCUUAGAGGGUGAGAGCCCCGUACGGUUGGAUACCGAGCCUGUGUAAAGCUCCUUCGACGAGUCGAGUAGUUUGGGAAUGCUGCUCUAAAUGGGAGGUAAAUUUCUUCUAAAGCUAAAUACCGGCCAGAGACCGAUAGCGCACAAGUAGAGUGAUCGAAAGAUGAAAAGCACUUUGAAAAGAGGGUUAAAUAGCACGUGAAAUUGUUGAAAGGGAAGCGUUUAUGACCAGACUUUUUCCAGGCGGAUCAUCCGGUGUUCUCACCGGUGCACUUCGUCUGGUUGAGGCCAGCAUCGGUUUUCGUAGAGGGAUAAAAGCAGUAGGAAUGUGGUUCCUCCGGGAAUGUUAUAGCCUAUUGUAUAAUACCUUUAUGGGGACCGAGGUUCGCGCUCUGCAAGGAUGCUGGCGUAAUGGUCAUCAACGACCCGUCUUGAAACACGGACCAAGGAGUCGAACAUUUGUGCGAGUGUUUGGGUGUUAAACCCUCACGCGUAAUGAAAGUGAACGGAGGUGAGAGCCCUUACGGGUGCAUCAUCGACCGAUCCUGAUGUUUUCGGAUGGAUUUGAGUAAGAGCAUAACUGUUCGGACCCGAAAGAUGGUGAACUAUGCGUGGAUAGGGUGAAGCCAGAGGAAACUCUGGUGGAGGCUCGCAGCGGUUCUGACGUGCAAAUCGAUCGUCAAAUCUGCGCAUGGGGGCGAAAGACUAAUCGAACCAUCUAGUAGCUGGUUACGGC